rnacentral:lncRNA from 1 species
UUGAACUGUCAUGCUCGCUAGGCGAAGCCCACGUGUUUAAAAAAAAACGAAAAAAAAAACGAAAAAAAAAACAAAAAACGAAAAACGAAAAAAAAAACAAAAUAAAUAAAUAAAUAAAAUAUAACAGAAAAAUUUUGGACUUUGGCCUCUCUCAUUUAAGCCCACAGGUCCAUAAAAAUCAGGUUAUAAAUUCAGAGUUUCAGUGAAACAAAAGGCCAUUCUAUUCCUAUCACCCUGGCAGGAAAAAGAUAGUGAGAGAAGAGCUAACAGAGUUCAGAGCAACCUCCAGAGACUGAAGGGAACUCAUCGGGAAAGAACCAAUUCCCUCUCAUAUAAACCCUCAGAUUGCUUAGCAAACCCAACCGGGCAAUUCAAU